CAGGAAUGCACCAUUCUCAAUCAGGAAUCUCACAGCUUUCUUGUUCCUUUCCUUGGCAGCAAUGUGAAGCGGUGUCCCUGGGUUCAACCAAGAAAACAGGGCAUUUCUGUCAAGACUCCAAUAUAAAAUAGCACAGCAGUGCAGGCAAUGGGUCAAGAGGAGGUGGGAACUUACAGCCGCAGGCUCCUUUUGUUCGAGCAUCAAUAUUUGCACCACGUUCCAGUAGUUCAUCCAUGAUUUUAACAUGCCCGCCCUGAGCAGCCAGAUGGAGCGGGGUGGCACCCGGAGAUUUUGGUCCCCAUGCAGGUGCAUUGACAUCCAUCCCCUCAUCCAGGAGACGUCGGACCUAGGCACAAAGAUAAUUUAUCAUCUCACCAAGCGAUUGUAGGAGAACAGUAAGCACUAGGUGAAUACAGGCGACAGGACAAAUAAGAAGAAAACAUCAAAAGUUAACAGAGGGUCAUAUCCCAAGUGUAUAUGUGGCAAUCACCAAAUAUGUGUCCAUGCAGUAUAUUUAUUGCUAGCUGAUGGUAACAAUCACAUGAACAAAGAAAUAGAAACAACAGCCUGUCACAGAUGAAUGUUGGGAAAAUACUUGAGCACCUAGGAUUGAGAACCAGACCGAUCAGCAGAUGAAGGUAUGCAUAUGACAUAGAAUGGUGCAGGUCUGUAUGGGAGCAAAAUUUUGAUACAGGCAUACAAGUCACCAACAAAACUAAACUUUAGAAGUAGUAUUUUGUCCAGAUUCAUGGAUGAGGACGUGUUGCUGGGUUGCUCUACUUGGCUUAACGGGGACAGCUCUACUUGGCUUAACGGGGACAAAAAGGAUUCCUGGUUAUCUUCAUUAGCGUGCAAUUUUGUUUUUCUUUUUGGUGUUUGUGUGCGAUGUGCAUGCACGAUUUAUGUUAGGCAAGGCAAUGCAUGCUACAAUCUCAUGUGCUAGUCUGCCUGCACACAUGGGUAAUUGAUUAUUACGA